GCAGGUAUAGCUGAGUGGUAGAGUGGAUGUUUCACAUGCACAGGGUCCUGGGUUCAAUCCCCAGUACUUCCA
rnacentral:tRNA from 1 species